UACGAAGGGGGCUAGCGUUGUUCGGAUUUACUGGGCGUAAAGCGCACGUAGGCGGAUCGUUAAGUCGGGGGUGAAAUCCUGGAGCUCAACUCCAGAACUGCCUUCGAUACUGGCGAUCUUGAGUCCGGGAAGAGGUGAGUGGAACUCCUAGUGUAGAGGUGGAAUUCGUAGAUAUUAGGAAGAACACCAGUGGCGAAGGCGGCUCACUGGUCCGGUACUGACGCUGAGACGGCGAAAGCGUGGGGAGCGAACAGG
rnacentral:rRNA from 1 species